GCGGAGGAUCAGGCCACGCAGAGCGGCAUAGAAGGACUCCUUCGCCUCCUCCGAGGCGUCCAGGGUAGGUGCAUAGGCGCUGAUGAUCACAAGGGAUUGGGAUUGACACAGAGCUCGUCCGCUCCAGAAGAAGGUGUACCAGUGCCGAGGCUCCUCGAUCUGCCCGGCACCAGGGAGACGGGUCUCGGAGAGGGCCACAAUGUCCAGGCCGAGCUUCUGAAUCUCAAGGGCGAUGAGGGCAGUCCUGCGCUCCGGUCUAUUUGCUCUUGCAUUGUCCAUCAGGGAUGAAUCUGCUGGAGGCGGGUCUCCAGCCGAUCGGUGGCGGUGAUGGGCGUGUUUAGGCCGCCUUUUAUUGGCCCUUCCUCGGAUUGAGGGGAGGAGCGCUACGACUAAAGAGUCCUGCUCUGCCACCGUGGUUGCUGCCUCUCCCCUGCACCAUCACCAGUUCGCA